AGCAGGCCCAAGUGAGUCCCUUUCCUUGACAGCAGGGAGCCAGAGGACAGCUGGGCUGUUUCCCUAGAGCAAGGGAAACGAGAAGACGCUGUCCUGUCCCGUUCCUGUCCCUGACAUCCCUCACCUGGGAGCGGCAGUGGCAUGGAGGAGACAGCCCCGUGCCCUCGCUCCUGUAAUGACAGCGCCCACACGCAGGAGCUCGCGGACGGUGCCCACCCAGCCCGCGUCCCGCUGCCGCAUGCCGACGCCGACACCGACCCUCGUGCACACUCACACAUGUCUCUCACUCACCGGGCGAUGUUAACAUCUCAUUAUCUUUGUUACUGUAAUUACAUUAUCCGCUGCUUUAUGCAGAAUUAUCC
rnacentral:lncRNA from 1 species